rnacentral:pre_miRNA from 1 species
AAUAAAUAAAAUUUUCACUUUUUACCUAUAAUUUUUGACUCUUCGUCUUAUUCAAAUUUUUUUUGCGAUUAAUAUUUUUGUUUUUAUUAGAUGAUAAAUCAUGAAUAGUACUCUACGUGUGACUAAUUUUUUUUUAGUUUUUUAAAAAUUUUUCAAAUAAGACGGAUAGUCAAACGUUAGAUACGGAAACCGGAG